AGCCCCGUACACAAAAAUGCACAUAUUGUGAGCUUGAUGAGUAGGGCGGGACACGUGGUAUCCUGUCUGAAUAUGGGGGGACCAUCCUCCAAGGCUAAAUACUCCUGACUGACCGAUAGUGAACCAGUACCGUGAGGGAAAGGCGAAAAGAACCCCGGCGAGGGGAGUGAAAAAGAACCUGAAACCGUGUACGUACAAGCAGUGGGAGCACGCUUAGGCGUGUGACUGCGUACCUUUUGUAUAAUGGGUCAGCGACUUAUAUUCUGUAGCAAGGUUAACCGAAUAGGGGAGCCGAAGGGAAACCGAGUCUUAACUGGGCGUUAAGUUGCAGGGUAUAGACCCGAAACCCGGUGAUCUAGCCAUGGGCAGGUUGAAGGUUGGGUAACACUAACUGGAGGACCGAACCGACUAAUGUUGAAAAAUUAGCGGAUGACUUGUGGCUGGGGGUGAAAGGCCAAUCAAACCGGGAGAUAGCUGGUUCUCCCCGAAAGCUAUUUAGGUAGCGCCUCGUGAAUUCAUCUCCGGGGGUAGAGCACUGUUUCGGCAAGGGGGUCAUCCCGACUUACCAACCCGAUGCAAACUGCGAAUACCGGAGAAUGUUAUCACGGGAGACACACGGCGGGUGCUAACGUCCGUCGUGAAGAGGGAAACAACCCAGACCGCCAGCUAAGGUCCCAAAGUCAUGGUUAAGUGGGAAACGAUGUGGGAAGGCCCAGACAGCCAGGAUGUUGGCUUAGAAGCAGCCAUCAUUUAAAGAAAGCGUAAUAGCUCACUGGUCGAGUCGGCCUGCGCGGAAGAUGUAACGGGGCUAAACCAU
rnacentral:rRNA from 1 species